AACGAACGCUGGCGGCAUGCCUAACACAUGCAAGUCGAACGAGACCUUCGGGUCUAGUGGCGCACGGGUGCGUAACGCGUGGGAAUCUGCCCUUGGGUUCGGGAUAACAGUUGGAAACGACUGCUAAUACCGGAUGAUAUCUUCGGAUCAAAGAUUUAUCGCCCAGGGAUGAGCCCGCGUAGGAUUAGCUUGUUGGUGAGGUAAGAGCUCACCAAGGCGACGAUCCUUAGCUGGUCUGAGAGGAUGAUCAGCCACACUGGGACUGAGACACGGCCCAGACUCCUACGGGAGGCAGCAGUGGGGAAUAUUGCACAAUGGGCGCAAGCCUGAUCCAGCAAUGCCGCGUGAGUGAUGAAGGCCUUAGGGUUGUAAAGCUCUUUUACCCGGGAUGAUAAUGACAGUACCGGGAGAAUAAGCCCCGGCUAACUCCGUG
rnacentral:rRNA from 1 species